UUCAUGUAGGAUUGGUGGUGGAAGGGAGGUAUGUUUCUCCUAGAUUCCUUUCCUAUGUGAAGUAACACCAGAGUCUUCCACCUGCUAGGUGAUAAAUGUAGGUGAAUGAGAGGGUGGAUAUAAAAGGGAAGCCAGGAGGGCAGGUAGCUCUCUGGCUGAGGACACAGAAAGCCUGUCUGUGGGAGAGACAUGUGAGUAAAGGGACAUCCCUUGUAUAGUAAGUGCCGGACAGGCAAGGUAUUUCUUUGUUGCUGUGUUGUUAUAUUUCUUUUGUCUUUGCAACCUUUCUAAUAAACCUGACCCUGUGUCAGAUUGCACGAA